rnacentral:pre_miRNA from 1 species
GCUUCAUUUCACGCGCACUCUCACCGGUCAGAGAGGCGAGAGAGUGUGCAAAAUGAAGAGA